GCAGGUUCCUCAAAUUGGACUGUUAAGGAGGUAGCCGAAACUGUCAAGAAUGACUUUGGAAGUAUUGACAUUCUAGUGCACUCUCUUGCCAAUGGACCGGAGGUUACCAAACCGCUCCUCGAGACAUCCAGAAAAGGAUACCUUGCUGCAAUUUCGGCAUCAAGUUAUUCCUUUGUUUCCCUACUCCAGCAUUUCCUACCCAUUAUGAAUCCAGGUGGUGCUUCGAUCUCCUUGACAUACAUUGCUUCAGAAAGGACAAUUCCUGGGUACGGAGGAGGCAUGAGUUCAGCGAAAGCGGCCUUAGAGAGUGAUACCCUGGUGCUA
rnacentral:misc_RNA from 1 species